GUGUUGGCUUUGGCAGCACAUAUACUAAAACUGGAAUGGUACAGAGAAGAUUAGCGUGGUGACACGCAAAUUCAUGAAGUGUUCCAUAAUAAA
rnacentral:snRNA from 1 species